GUGGGGAAUAUUGGACAAUGGGGGCAACCCUGAUCCAGCCAUGCCGCGUGUGUGAAGAAGGCCUUUUGGUUGUAAAGCACUUUAAGCGAGGAGGAGGCUUACCUGGUUAAUACCCGGGAUAAGUGGACGUUACUCGCAGAAUAAGCACCGGCUAACUCUGUGCCAGCAGCCGCGGUAAUACAGAGGGUGCAAGCGUUAAUCGGAUUUACUGGGCGUAAAGCGCGCGUAGGUGGCUAAUUAAGUCAAAUGUGAAAUCCCCGAGCUUAACUUGGGAAUUGCAUUCGAUACUGGUUAGCUAGAGUAUGGGAGAGGAUGGUAGAAUUCCAGGUGUAGCGGUGAAAUGCGUAGAGAUCUGGAGGAAUACCGAUGGCGAAGGCAGCCAUCUGGCCUAAUACUGACACUGAGGUGCGAAAGCAUGGGGAGCAAACAGGAUUAGAAACCCUUGUAGUCC
rnacentral:rRNA from 1 species